UGGGGAAUAUUGCACAAUGGGGGAAACCCUGAUGCAGCGACGCCGCGUGAGCGAUGAAGGCUUUCGAGUCGUAAAGCUCUGUCCUAUGGGAAGAUAAUGACGGUACCAUAGAAGAAAGCCCCGGCUAAUUACGUGCCAGCAGCCGCGGUAAUACGUAAGGGGCGAGCGUUGUCCGGAAUUAUUGGGCGUAAAGAGUGCGUAGGCGGAAAAUUAAGUCAGAUGUGAAAACUAAGGGCUCAACCCAUAGAUUGCAUCUGAAACUGAUAUGCUUGAGUCAAGGAGAGGAAAGUGGAAUUCCUAGUGUAGCGGUGGAAUGCGUAGAUAUUAGGAGGAAUACCGGUGGCGAAGGCGACUUUCUGGACUUGAACUGACGCUGAGGCACGAAAGCGUGGGGAGCAAACAGG
rnacentral:rRNA from 1 species